rnacentral:rRNA from 1 species
UACGUAGGUGGCAAGCGUUGUCCGGAAUUAUUGGGCGUAAAGCGCGCGCAGGUGGUUUCUUAAGUCUGAUGUGAAAGCCCACGGCUCAACCGUGGAGGGUCAUUGGAAACUGGGGAACUUGAGUGCAGAAGAGGAAAGUGGAAUUCCACGUGUAGCGGUGAAAUGCGUAGAGAUGUGGAGGAACACCAGUGGCGAAGGCGGCUCUUUGGUCUGUAACUGACGCUGAGGCGCGAAAGCGUGGGGAGCGAACAGG